rnacentral:rRNA from 1 species
AGCUCCAAUAGCGUAUAUUAAAUUUGUUGCGGUUAAAAAGCUCGUAGUUGGACAUCUGCCGAGGGUAGGCGGUCCUCGUUUUGCGAGUGUAUCUGCCUUGUUCUCGGCAUCUUUGGGGGGCGGCGCCUGCGCUUAAAUGCGCGGCGAUGGCCCCGCGACUUUUACUUUGAGGAAAAUAGAGUGUUCGCGGCAGGUGACGGCCUUGAAUAUGUUAGCAUGGAAUAAUGGUGCAGGGCUUUAGUUCUCUUUUGUUGCUUCCUAGGGCUAAAGUGAAGAUUAAGAGGAACUAUCGGGGGCAUCUGUAUUAACCUGUCAGAGGUGGAAUUCUUGGAUUAGGUUACGACGACCUACUGCGAAAGCAUUGGCCAAGGAUGUUUUCA